rnacentral:snoRNA from 1 species
GGGAGAAGUGAUGAUUCUUAAUCCAUACCACGUCUUCUGCACUUUUGGGUGAUGAGAUAAAUCGAAACAUGCACUGCCAUCUGAUCUCCC